CGAAUUUUUACCCCGUUGCAUUUGGUUCCCUUCUUUUCCAGCCGUUUGUUCUCUCUUCCUCUCGUCACUCUUCGCCUCGCUUAGUCUCAGAGUGGAUAGUUUUGCGAGAUUUUCCCCAUUUUUUAUUCGAUUGGAAAUUGGUUUGGACUGAUCUAAUCCGGCGUUUCCAGUUUCAGGAAAUGGUGCCUUUGAAAGUUUGGGAGUUUCAAUUUCGAUUUCCCAAGUUCUCUGUGUUGAAGCUCUCAAGUCCACCGCAUUGUCCGACUUCUUUGCCCACCGCACUGUCCGGCUUUUUUGCCCACUUCAGGUUUGAUUCGUUCAACGCUCUUGAUUGUUUUUUUCAACCCAACUACUACAUUUUCCAACAAAUUUACAAAGAACAAACAAGUUGGAUUACAACCAGAUUCAGUCAAAUUAUAUCACUAUUGGUAUUGCAGCUGCCCACCAUACAGAAAUUACAAAGUUUGCUCCACUCUAUACUUCUUUGAUACAUUUCAUUCAAAUUCGUACAUUUCGGUAAGGAACAAACUUUUAUCUAUUCCUUGAGUUAGGCAGAGCUGUAAAUAUAACUUUCUACAUGUUGUAUGUUGUUUAAAAACCUGCAGCAUCGUGCGGGCACUGUAUCUAGUUAUUACUUUAGUCUAAAGAAGGCUUUUCAAUUGCACUGUACAAAUGAACAUUGUUUGAACGACAUUUCAGUUUAUUUACAAGAUUGCCACCGCCUCUUCAGUUUCAGAUUGAAAAUUUCGAUUUAUUUACAAAAUUGCCACCCUUCAGAGUGCACGUGUCGACUAUCGUAGAAAGGGUGGGGGAUGGAAGCAAACCCGAUUUUGUUCCAGAGAUCUCUUCGACGACAAACCCAUUUUGCUCCAGAGCUCUUCAAUGACAAAGUCGAUUCGGCGCCUCGCCGUCACACACCUUUCCUUACCUCACCGCCACACUCCUUACCAGAACUCGAAUCAAUGAAUUUAGUGCCAUUUGAUAAACGUUGAACAAAGUCCUUCAAUGAAUCUCUCAAGGCGCUUGAAUCUGAUAUUCAGUUUGCCAACACUUUGUCGAUGAAUUUUAUGGAUUUCCUUUGUAAUCCUUGCUGCAGAAAGCAAUCUCGACGCCGCUGUGGGCAAUACGAGCCGCCACGCUACUGUUGUUCUUGGUAUAAGGAGCUAUAGCUCCAUUGAAGAAGUGAGAGGCAUACGACAAUAUUUCUUCAGUCUGGAAUUCAGACAGGUAGGAUGUGGAUACUUCUGACUUUAUCAAGGAACUUAGUAGUCCCCAUCAUCAUCAGUUUGUCUACUAUUGCAGUUAGAGAAGCAUUCCACAGAAGAAUGCAGGUUACACCUUCAGUUUAUUCGCGCAAAGAACCAAAAGCACCAUCAAAAUUUAAAAAAAAAAAUUUAUUUUUUUCAUUCGGCUGUUGAGGAAGGGAUUGUUGUUGGUGGAUGAAACCUUUAGGUAAUUAUAUGUUGCUUAUUGAACUCCCCUAAUCAUGAGUUUAGACUCGGAAGAAGAUUUUGAUGAUGACAGAUACUGAAUUAAAUUUUGGCUCAAAUUGUAUUGAAAAUUGCAGUUCGGAGCAAUUUUUAUGAGGAAGAAGGAUGAAUCCUAAACAUACCUCAUCCUCCAAGUGUAAAUGCUGAUGUGGAGCUGUUUAAACAAGAUAUUGCAACAUGCAUAAAUUCACCUGGAAAUUUUUCAUGUCAAUGUCCCAAAGGAUACAAACAUGAAGGCAUGGAAGAAAAGAGUUGAAUCAAAGACAACAAAUGGUCAAAGGCCAUUCUCCUCAUUAUUUCAUUAGAUCAAAGAAGGAAGUUCAAGGAUCAAGGUUUGGACUACUAGACAGCACGCCAGCUUCGGUUUAAGGUAUAGGUAUAUGUCAACGGCUCACAGGGUUUUUUUGAAUCUGUAGGUCCAGGAUUUAUUUUUGAAAGGUGGUGCAGAAGACAUCUCCAUUAACCGGUAACAGAAGAAAUUGUUUGCUGUCGAGGUUCAUGUGCAGAAGAGCGAAAAUGCUGCAAGUGGAGGAUAGAUAACAGCUCAAGACACAUGGUAUGAGGGUGCAGGUAAACUAUACAUAUGCAUCUGGAAAAGGUUAAAAUUUAAGGCGGGUUGGCUAUAGCUUCUCCUUCUCACCACAACAGGAAAUACUUUUGAACUGCAUUAGGAUGUUAAUAAAUUAAGCUUAAGCUAUAUUUUACUUAUCAAGAAUGGGUAAACUGUUUUAAAUAGAAAAAUUAAGUGCUUAUAUCAGGUAAACUAUCAAUUUUACAAAGUUUUCUGGUAAAUUAGAUAUAUAGUUUAAUUUGAAGAGUUGUGUUGACCUUUACUUUUGUUAAAUUAUAUAGUUUAAUUGCGGCCUCUUUUUCCAAUCCUUAUAUAUCUGCUCAACUCUUGGUUAAUUAUUUGCCAGUAAGAAUGUUUAAUUGCUUGAUCAAUGAUGUCCAUUCAAUUUGAAGAAGAAAUAGGACUUUUGUCCAAUAGGGAUUUGAAAUAGGGAUUGAGACUCUCACAUGAGUAAGAUGUCCUAAUUGUUCAUUGAUUCUUAGGUGCUACGUCAUUUUAGUUGCUUUGUGUGGAAACUAUUUUAUGCCUGUUGCGACUAAUACAUUCAAGUCCCUGCAGCAAUGCGCGGGCAUAUUUUCUCUUCUAUUCUAAAGUAGAAGGGGGCAGGCACUGUUCAUUGUUUUUUUAUUUUGCUUUAUUUACAACAAUAUCAGCCGAAUCUGGCUGGGUUGGAAGGGUGAUUCUCAAAAGUUCAGAGGGUGAUUUUGUCCAUAUGGUUUAGCACAGAGCCACUCGAUUUCAUCCUAUUUACAACAAUACCAGCCAAAUGGAGGUGGGUUGGGAAUGUAAUUCUUAAAACUUCAGAGGGUAAUUUUUCCAGGGCACGAGAAAUUUUUUAUUGUGUAAAAUGACGAGACUGCCCAUCUCAUCUUCAGAUCCCACGGUGAGGAUGAAGAGUUAGAUGGGUAGAAUCGUCUUUUUAUUAUUAGGAUUUCAGAUUGGGGUUAGGUUCCUUCCUCGUCACUUCGUUCUGUCUUCGGCACAGGCAAAGCCAUGCUGAUCCUGGCAUGGGUGAGUGGGAGGGCGACAGUGAGAGAUAGUGAGAGUGACAGUGAGAGAAAGGGUAGGGAGAGUGAUUUCAGGGAUUGGUAAUCCCAUCACGUGUUUUCCUCUCAUCUCUGUCACACUUAACCUCUCUCUAACCUUUCUCUUUCACUCUCUUUCAGACUCUCCCUUUCUCCCAACUCUCCAUCGCUCUCAACUUUAGUCCUAACCCUAAUUUGUUCUUUGAUUCCUCAAUUUUCUCCAUCCGAGCAAUGAGAAAUUGAACUGGGUUUUCAGAUUAUUGAUGCACAGGGAUUCACGGAGAGAGAAGGGAGAGAGAGAGAGUUGAUUGAGGGAGUUGGUGAGUAUGGGCUUGCACAGAGGGAAGAACACAGAAAAAGAGGGAGGGAGAGAAGGAUUGCAUAGAGACAAGGAGAGAGAUAGAGAGAGAGAUCGCAGAAAGAGGAGGAUGACGAAAAUUGAGGAGGAACCCAUGUCUGCAGAGAGGCAAAAAAACUACCAGGGAAGGAAGAGACUGCAAGGAAAGUAAAACCCAGACCGGAGAAGACAAGCAAUGGCGGAGGAAGGCUGUAGAUCUUUGAUAAAGGCAUAAAUCCUUUUCGUUUCUGGAGAUGCAAGAAAUUACAAUUGAAAAAGCCAUGUGUAAUGAGCAGAAAUGUAUCACCACUAUGAAAGGGCUGCAGCUUUUUGAUAUUGAAACAUGCAUAAAUUCACCUGGAAAUUAUUCAUGUCAAUGUCUUAAAGGAUGCAAACAUGAAGGCAUGGAUGAAAAGAGUUGUAUCAAAGACAACAAACUGUCAAAUGCCAUUCUCCUCAUUAUUUCAUUAGGUAAGCAGGUGGCCUUUGUAACUUGUGCCCAGCCGAAAGCCUCUUUCCUGCCUCCUAAGUUUUCCUCUGGGCCUUAGGUUUGGGCCGACUUUCUCUCUGGCCCAAAGUUCAGAUUUUAUCCCAAACACGUUCAUUGUCCUUGAAUCUGCCACUGCUUGCUCUUCCACGCUCGGUGAGGCAGAUAGAGGGAGAGGGAAAUUGUGGUUUCAACACUCUCGCUUCUGUUCUUGGAAGGUAGUUCUUUACCACUUAACUCUCAUUCAAUUUCUGUGAAUUUACAGUUUUUUGGUUGUCUUAAUGGAAUGGUUUCUGGGUUCUUUUUUUUUGGGGGGGGGGGAGGAAUUUAUAUAUGUGGAGAAAUUUUUGGUGAAAUACGGUCAAGUAUAAGGAUUUUUGGGUUGUUUUUAUUCAACUGGGAGUAGUUGCUGAAUUUUUUGUGGCGAGAAAGAGUUCGAUUUUUCCGUAAAUAGAGUUAUUUAUUUUGAAAUCCCAAAUUGAAUGAAGACUUUAUUUAUUGUUGUAGCAGUUGCAAAGAAAUGAAAUGUAAUUGGGUGAUUAAUUUGUUUGUGUUUAUGUAGAAAUAGAAAAUAAUUGUUAGAUAAGUACUAUGUAAUUUUUCUUACAAAAAAGUUCUAACAAAAUGACAGGAAGAGUAAUGUGGCGAGGCUUGGGAAUUUUAGUAUUGGCUCUUUCCUUAUCAUUAAGCAAGAGAUUUUCUUUAUUUUUGAAGUAGUUUCUGUAAUUUUAUACUCUAGAGAGUGAGCUAUUUUAUAAUUUUGACUGAAAUCAAGGUCAGUAUCGUUUUGUAAAUUUCAUCAUGGUAAGCUAAAAACUUGACGUUGUGGGACAAUGGAAUGGAAUCAUCUCGAAUUAGUUUUGGUUGAUAAGGAUUAGGGCUCGGUGUGGAUUAGUAAGAUUGUUUAACUUAACCUGAACCUGUGUGGGUUUCAUUACUCUGCUAGGUUACGUACUUAGUUGCCUAAUUAUUUGGACUAGUUUAUUGUGUUUGUGUGUGUAUGUUGGGAAUGUGUACGCACAGCUCAGGGAUGAAGAACAUGCUCAAGCUGCGCUUCAGAAUCUCACUGGGAGGUUCAAUGCAGGUUAGUUCCCUUUCUUUUUCUUACCUUGAUAUGUUACGAACAACAUGAUCAAUAGUCAUGAUGGUAUGGUGGUUUUAUCGUCGCUGUAAUAUGUUUCAUCGCAGUCACUUUCCUGUCUUUUGAUUGAUUCGUGAUUGGUAUAUGUAUUGUGCUACAUGAUAGUUCAGUGUUUAUAGUUUGCACAUUAUUGCCGAACUUCCAACUUAGAGUCGAGCUAUUUAUGAGAACUGGGUUUAUUUCGAAUUUUUGAUUGAUUGAAUUUUUAAACAUGUUGUCUAUCAGGGCUGGCCUUGGGAGUAUUGGAUUUAGGGUGAAAGCAAAUCGUGCAUUCACACAAUCGCACAUAAGAAACUUCUAUUUGUAUAUUGUUAGAAGAGCAUACACAUGUAAUAGAUUUGCAAUCAUUUGAGCGAGUUACUCAAAUUUCAAUUUGUGAUGGUGCUGCAUAAUUAUAUCCUGGCUUGGCAUUAUCGUAACCGCAUGCGUUUCAAAAUAAUAAUGGGGCCACAGUUGUUUCUAUGCAUAAUUAUUUCUUAAGCAUUUACAUUUAUCUUAAAUAAUUAUUUUUAUACAUAAUUAUGCAUAGUACUCAAAGAAAACAAUUAUGCAUAGUACUCAGAGAAAAUAAUUAUGCAUAGUACUGAUUAUGUUUUUGGUUAAGGAUUAGGGAUUUUGGGUGAUUAGUUUUAGUUUCUAGCUUUUGGGUAUAUUUUGAGAGAGAGAUUUUGUUUUGUUUUUAUUUUUUUUAUUUUUUUUAUUUUUUAUUUUAAUUUUGGGUAAAAUUUAUAAUUGCAUCAUGCUAUGGGUUCUCAUGAGGGAUUGGAUUGGCUUUGGGGGAGAGGGAGAGGGAGAUUUUGUUUAUAUUUUGGGUAGAGUUUUUAGUUACAUCCAUCAUCCUGCAAAAGAUUAGGUAAUUUCUGAAUUAGGGUUUUUUUAAUUAUUAUGUGAAUUUCUGGUUUAGGGAUUUAGGGUUUUUGAGUUAGUUUUUGUGAAGAUCAUUGUUUGAUUUUAGGCACACUCUAAUCGAUUACAAGUUUUCGGAUCCUAAACACUUUGAAAGGGUUUCCAGAAAAGACAUCUUUCCAAAGGCGAGUAGUGACACUGUCAAGUUCCUCAACCAAUCUUCAGUGGAAUUUUCUCCAUCAUCCUAUAUAUUGCAGCAUUAACACAUUUGAUACGAAAUUUUCAGUUUCUAGUCACUUAAGAUGGCAGGAAAAUGGACACAAUAAAUUAUCCAUGGUCUUUAUCAUUGCUAGCUGAGAAUUGGAAAGUGCCUGAAGUUAUUAGUUAUUAAAAUGUUCCUUUUUGUUUGAAAUGCGAGUGUUGUUGGACAAAUGGGAUAAAAGAAAUGGUUGUUGCAGCGUGUUUUACUUUGUUGGUUGGCAAGAAGCAUGUUCAGUUGAUUCAAUUUAUUCUUUUACUUUCUAUGACAAAGCAAUCCUUUGCAGACCUUUGGUAUCAAGUUUUUUUUUUUUUUUUUUUUUUUUGAAUCUGGUGCACUACGUGCAAUUACAUAUGUGUGAGACACUUUUUAAAUUAGACACACUAUGCGCUACGUACGGAUUUUAUAACGUUAGAGUCUCAUUCAGUUGCUGUUUUAAAUUUGGGCUUCCAUUUGGCUGAGCAUCCUUCUCUUCAAAAGGUAACAUUGUUUCUAAUGCCUAAUCAAAAUUUGAUUUCUUGGGUCAUUACAAUUUAUAUAGUUUUGUAAAGAGAAAUUGUUUACAAGCGCAAACAACUGCCAGAUUUUAUUUUGAAGUCUGAAUAUGCCAAUAGAACCAUAUAAUUAUAAUGGUUGGGACAGUUACUGCAAAUCUUUUGUGACGUUUUUUUAUUGGUAUAUUAUUCCAUUGUUUUCAGGGGAUAGACAAAAGUCCCAGGCAGCAAUCUCCCUGUGAUCAUCGCUGAGAAAAUAUCGUGGGCAUUUUGAGUUCGAAUUCAGCUAGCAUGUGAUCUGUGCAAGAUAUCCAUAUAUGGAUCAAUGUUAUGGACUCUUCUCAACCUAUGGACCUCAAAUUUCAAUGCGUCUUCCAUCAUUUAUCCUACCUCACUAUGUAUGGAGCUAUUACAUUUGCAAUCAUAUUAAUUCCUUGAAAACAAUAUUUAUAUUUCUCUGUAAACUGCUAAAUUUGGCAGAGAGAUGAGGGGGGUCCAAGAUGGGAUUAGGAGAUUUGGUUUAGGGUUUGCAGAGGCAGAGAUAAGGGGUGUCCAAGAGAGAUGUGGGAGGAUUUAGGCGAGGGAUUUCAGGGAUUUGGUUUAGAGUAUGUAUUCUGCGAUUUGCACAGACAAAGAGAUGGGACAAGGGUGAGAGUGAUGGGAGGAUUUUAUGCAAGGGUUGAAAGGUAAGGGAGGUAUAGGUAUGGGUUUGUUGUGAUGGGGUUUAGUAAUUUUCAAUAUUAUUCGACUCUUUCUAAUAUGCAAAAUCAAAUUACCUAUGGAAUUUAUAACAUGCAAUCAGUUUUUUUUUUA